UACAUCAAACGCUUGAGCUCGGACAGUCUAGAUGGAGGAAAACUCCGAAGGAUAAGGAGCUUACUGCGCAAGGAGAGCUCUACGUCCAGUCUGCUGCCAGCCAUCCCUGGAGUGCCUGAAGAACAAAAGCAGCCGCUGACCUGCCAGCUGCAGGGCCAGGCAGAAACCGACAGCCAAGAAGACCUGGGCCGAGACCCAGGAACCAAACACGUGAGCUUCCGUGAGGAAGAACGGGAAGCGGACAAAGCCCAUCGUGUGGCUGCAGUGCUCAAGUUGCCCAAAGCCAACGAAUCUUUCACCAAAGAUUCCAGACCUUCCUCAAGGGCUCAGUCCAGCCCGUCGCAGGCAUCGCAAGGCACUCCAUCCCGGCUUCCACUUCUGGCAUGCGACUCAGUCAGACUUCUCAGGCGCAGGGCUAAGAAGAGCAGGCAGAAAGAACCUGAGGAGAUGGAAGCAUCAACAUCUCAGGCUGAGGCCAGCCAGCCGCAGGAGUCCUCUGCCAACAGAGCUGGAUUUCUGCCACCGAUACAUGAAGUAACACAGUCUCCUCAGCGUCAGCCCCCGGACACCAAAGCCCCUCCGCGCAGGAAGGGCACACCCUACCCACGCUGAUGCGGGCAUGGGGCGCCCAUGAGCUCCAAGAGCUCCACUCGAGCUGGCUGCAAAACAGAUGCGUGAAUCCCAUCUGCAUCAUAUCUAAUCCUAGACUAGGCUGCCGAGUGCCCAAUCCAACCUGGCCUUCAACACUGCCACGGACGCGGCGUCCACAAGCUCUCUGGGCAUCCGCUUCCAGCAUCUCACCACCGUCUCUGGAAAGACCUUCUCCCUGACAUCCAAUCUUCAUUGUCCCUCCCUCUGUCAAUAAAGCCUUACCAUGGGCCUAUCCCAUACAAAUCUC